rnacentral:rRNA from 1 species
AGGACGAACGCUGGCGGCGUGCUUAACACAUGCAAGUCGAGCGGAAACGGCCCUUCGGGGGUACUCGAGCGGCGGAACGGGUGAGUAACACGUGACGUAAUCUGCCCCUAGCUCUGGGAUAGCUCCGGGAAACCGGGAUUAAUACCGGAUACGACCACCUUAGACGAUCUUUUGUGGUGGAAAGAAUUUCGGCUAGGGAUGAGCUCGCGGCCUAUCAGCUUGUUGGUGGGGUAACGCCUACCAAGGCGACGACGGGUA